rnacentral:rRNA from 1 species
GAGUUUGAUCCUGGCUCAGAUUGAACGCUGGAGGCGUGCUUAACACAUGCAAGUCGCGCGAGAAAGGGACUUCGGUCCUGAGUAGAGCGGCGCACGGGUGAGUAACGCGUGGGUGAUCUCCCCUGGUGAUCCGGAUAACAGCUGGAAACGGCUGCUAAUACCGGAUAAUCUUCAUGUUUAGCUUCAUGGGGUAAAGGUGGCCUCUGCUUGCAAGCUACCACAUCAGGAUGAGCCCGCGUCUCAUUAGCUAGUUGGUGGGUAACGGCCUACCAAGGCGACGAUGAGUAGCUGGUCUGAGAGGAUGACCAGCCACACUGGGACUGGAACACGGCCCAGACUCCUACGGGAGGCAGCAGUGGGGAAUAUUGCGCAAUGGGCGAAAGCCUGACGCAGCGACGCCUCGUGAGGGAUGAAGGUCUUCGGAUCGUAAACCUCUGUCAAGAGGGAAGAAACCAUUGGAGUCGAACAGGCUUCUUUGCUGACGGUACCUCUGAAGGAAG